AAAUAAAGACUAGUAUGAAUGGCUUCACGAGGAUCCAACUGUCUCCUUUGUCCAAUCAGUGAAACUGAUCCCCCCGUGCAGAAGCGGGGAUAUUAUCAUAAGACGAGAAGACCCUAUGGAGCUUUAAACCUACAUCAACAAAUUUCUUUCUAUCUCUAAACUAACAUUUAUUAAAUUUGCUUGAUUAAAGUUUUAGGUUGGGGCGACCAUGGAGAAAAAAAAAUCCUCCACGAUGAUCUCCUAACUAAGAACCCCAAUUCUAAGUAUUAAGACUCUUAACUUAUAUUGACCCAUUUUAUGAUCAACGAACCAAGUUACCCUAGGGAUAACAGCGCAAUCCAUUUCAAGAGUCCCUAUCGACAAAUGGGUUUACGACCUCGAUGUUGGAUCAGGGCACCCAAGUGGUGCAACCGCUACUAAAGGUUCGUUUGUUCAACGAUUAAAGCCCUACGUGAUCAGAGUUCAGACCGGAGA
rnacentral:rRNA from 1 species